UUUCGAUAUAUCGAAGAAAUGGCAUUCUUUCGAUAUAUCGAAGAAAUGGCAUUCUUUUAAUAUAUUGAAGAAAUGAAUGGCAUUCUUUCGAUAUAUCGAAGAAAUGGCAUUAUUUCGAUAUAUCGAGG